rnacentral:rRNA from 1 species
CCUACGGGGGGCAGCAGUGGGGAAUAUUGGACAAUGGGGGCAACCCUGAUCCAGCCAUGCCGCGUGUGUGAAGAAGGCCCUCGGGUUGUAAAGCACUUUCAGUGAGGAAGAACGCCUGGUGGUUAAUACCCAUCAGGAAAGACAUCACUCACAGAAGAAGCACCGGCUAACUCCGUGCCAGCAGCCGCGGUAAUACGGAGGGUGCGAGCGUUAAUCGGAAUUACUGGGCGUAAAGCGCGCGUAGGUGGCUUGAUAAGCCGGUUGUGAAAGCCCCGGGCUCAACCUGGGAACGGCAUCCGGAACUGUCAAGCUAGAGUGAAGGAGAGGAAGGUAGACUUCCCGGUGUAGCGGUGAAAUGCGUAGAGAUCGGGAGGAAUACCAGUGGCGAAGGCGGCCUUCUGGACUGACACUGACACUGAGGUGCGAAAGCGUGGGUAGCAAACAGGAUUAGAUACCCGGGUAGUC